GUAGAACAAAACCAAAAGAAGCAAAUGGAGAAAAGGCUGUCCUUGGCCACCCUGAAUCAUUCUUUUUCCCUCCUCCCCUGUUUCCUCCGAACCCCUUUCAGCCUCCUCCGUUGCUUCCUCCCAUACUGCCACCACCAGCUCCACUUAUUCCAAACCCAUUUCAGCCUCCUCCAGCUCCACUUAUUCCAAACCCCUUUCAGCCUCCUCCAGCUCCUCUUAUUCCAAACCCUUUUCAGCCUCCUCCAGCCCCACCGGCUCCACUUAUUCCAAACCCUUUUCAGCCUCCUCCCGCACCACCGGCUCCACUUAUUCCAAACCCUUUCCAGCCUCCUCCCGCACCUCCAGCUCCAUUUAUCCCAAACCCCUUCCAGCCUCCUUCGGCACCUCCAGCACCUCCAGCACCAUGGUUUCAUCUUCCACCGAUUCCAGGACUAACUCCACCACCAUCGCCACCACCUCCACCUCCACCAACCUUCCCGUUUCCUCUUCCCCCAUUCCAUUUCCCACCUAUACCGCCUUUCCCUGGUAUCCCCCCUGCCUCUGC
rnacentral:lncRNA from 1 species